rnacentral:tRNA from 1 species
GGCCUUGUGGUCAAGCGGUUAAGACGGCGCCCUCUCACGGCGCAAUCCCGGGUUCGAUUCCCGGCGAGGUCACCA